ensembl:lncRNA
CCGAGCCUGGGCGCCGAACGACGUGACGCCAGUUUUCAAGCUCCUGCACACGCGCAGCUGUUCUCGGUACAGAGCUCACAUGGCGCACGAGGAGCUGCGACACAAGCAAAUAGGACAAGCAACAGCAAAAAAAAACAACAAAAAAAAAACCCAAAAAAACCCCCAAAACGGAUGAUAUUCAUAUUUUUGUUCUCUCGUCAUGAUUUAUGUAUUUGCAUUUUAGCAUAUGAGUUAUAUUUCAAGUGGUUUAUUAGCUACAACCAAAUCACCGCUUCACUAAAGAAAUUUUGCCGCACUUCUCCGGAUAAAGGGACACGCGCGCUUAACGGUUUGCUUAUGCAGUUGGAAAAGGAGAUGGAAAACACCCACUCAAAUGAAAUGCGUUUUUGGUUCAUUAGAAACAGCCUAACGACAGCCUGACAUAUGGAGUGGAACACAGGAGCACACUGUAAUGUAAAGACGAACAUAGAGGACAUUAUUCUCUGCAUUAAUAAACAUUCCCAGCUCGUGGGUCUUCCUUUCCUCCUCGCGAGGACCGACUCGUGAACUGUGCCAUCUUAUGGAACAGGAAUCGAGUAAACACACAUACAUUCAGAGAGCCUCAGAUGAAUCUCUGCACCAUAAGGGUCAAGCAUGAAAGACUGCACAGUCCCAGUGAAUUAAUGUUUACAGACAUUUUGCUGCAAGAUCUGCUAUUUUUGAACAAGGACAGGUCCUGGAUGUGUGCUAAUGCCAAAAAAAGAGGACAACAGCAGUGAACACAGUGAGCCAAUCUUAGUAGACACUGCUAUUUAGAGUAUAUGCUCAGUGGGAGCUUAUUUUAGGAAGAAACAGCCUACAUCAUAUUGAGUUAAGCUGAAUAUACAGUAGCUGAUUGUACCGUGCACUGGCUGUGCCUCUCUUCAGGAACAAAAUAAUUUACCAAAGCAGAAGCUCUGAGUAUAUUUACAACCUUAUCUUUUAUAGUCUGUAUUCAUAAAUGCAUGACUAAAAGUAAAUAGACUAAAAGUACGUAUUUUUUUUCUGUAUUGUUAGGAUACAUAUCUUAUACUUAGUGGAUAUGAAACAGUGGUCAGAACCUACCAUGAUAUAUAACAUUCUGUUGAAGGUCAACUCAAAUUUAAAUAGACUUAAACUUUGAAAUUCAACAGCAGAAAGUGUAUUUGGGUUGUGUUUGUAUAGUCUCCAUUAGCCUGCCUUAGCCUACCUGGAAAUUUCUCACAGAUUUAGCCUAUACAUUACUGGAAACUUGGGGAAUCUGUAAUGGAAUUCUGUGUUGUUCCUCUGUUUCUUCUGAAGUAAUUUGUCAAUAAUAAAAUAAAAAAUAAAUAAAC